rnacentral:rRNA from 1 species
GACGAACGCUGGCGGCGUGCUUAACACAUGCAAGUCGAACGGAAAGGCCCUGCUUUUGUGGGGUGCUCGAGUGGCGAACGGGUGAGUAACACGUGAGUAACCUGCCCUUGACUUUGGGAUAACUUCAGGAAACUGGGGCUAAUACCGGAUAGGAGCUCCUGCUGCAUGGUGGGGGUUGGAAAGUUUCGGCGGUUGGGGAUGGACUCGCGGCUUAUCAGCUUGUUGGUGGGGUAGUGGCUUACCAAGGCUUUGACGGGUAGCCGGCCUGAGAGGGUGACCGGCCACGUUGGGACUGAGAUACGGCCCAGAUUCCUACGGGAGGCAGCAGUGGGGAAUAUUGCACAAUGGGCGGAAGCCUGAUGCAGCAACGCCGCGUGCGGGAUGACGGCCUUCGGGUUGUAAACCGCUUUCGCCUGUGACGAAGCGUGAGUGACGGUAAUGGGGAAAGAAGCACCGGCUAACUACGU